rnacentral:rRNA from 1 species
UCAGUCGACUCCUACGGGAGGCAGCAGUGGGGAAUAUUGCACAAUGGGCGCAAGCCUGAUGCAGCAACGCCGUGUGAGUGAAGAAGGUUUUCGGAUCGUAAACUCUGUCCUAAGGGAAGAAACAAAUGACGGUACCUUAGGAGGAAGCCCCGGCUAACUACGUGCCAGCAGCCGCGGUAAUACGUAGGGGGCAAGCGUUAUCCGGAAUCACUGGGCGUAAAGGGUGCGUAGGCGGCUUAGCAAGCCAGGGGUGAAAGGCAUUGGCUCAACCAAUGUAAGCCUUUGGAACUGUUAAGCUUGAGUGCAGGAGAGGUAAGUGGAAUUCCUAGUGUAGAGGUGAAAUUCGUAGAUAUUAGGAGGAACACCAGUGGCGAAGGCGACUUACUGGACUGUAACUGACGCUGAUGCACGAAAGCGUGGGUAGCGAACAGGAUUAGAUACCCUGGUAG